rnacentral:rRNA from 1 species
UGGGGAAUAUUGGACAAUGGGGGCAACCCUGAUCCAGCCAUGCCGCGUGCGUGAAGAAGGCCUUAGGGUUGUAAAGCGCUUUCACUGGUGAAGAUGAUGACGGUAGCCAGAGAAGAAGCCCCGGCUAACUCCGUGCCAGCAGCCGCGGUAAUACGGAGGGGGCAAGCGUUGUUCGGAAUUACUGGGCGUAAAGAGCGUGUAGGCGGCACGUUAAGUCGACUGUGAAAGCCCAUGGCUCAACCAUGGAAGUGCAGUCGAUACUGGCAUGCUAGAGUCCCGGAGAGGGUGGUGGAAUUCCCAGUGUAGAGGUGAAAUUCGUAGAUAUUGGGAGGAACACCAGUGGCGAAGGCGACCACCUGGACGGGUACUGACGCUGAGACGCGAAAGCGUGGGGAGCAAACAGGAUUAGAUACCCGUGUAGUCC